rnacentral:lncRNA from 1 species
UCUUUAAUAAAAAGUGUAACGGCCUUGAAUGAGUGCUGUUCAGGGGCAAUCAGCUAGAGGAGCUGAGUCUCUCUGGGUGGCUCUGGGAUAGGAGAAGGGGGCAGCUGAAAUAUGCAAGAGGAGAGAAAGAUCCGGGAUUCACUGGAAGCAAAAGUCACGGUCUGAGAGGUCUGGUGACAUGUCUGACUUUCAAGAAUCCCCACUGACUGGGAACUUGGCUGUCCUGCUACCUGUACCCAGGGAGUGGAAGUUGGAGCCAGUGUCAUUUGACCUCCAAGGACUGGAGGUUAGGGCCUGGCUGGCAUGUGUGUUACAUGAGAAUGUCAAAGGGCAAAGGUCCCACCGUUCCUGCUGAGCGCCACAUCCUGUGGCCACUGCUCCUUAGCACAGAUAUCCCACCUGGGGCCAAUGCCCCAGAGGGACAGAGUGAUGGAGGACACUGUCCUGCUUCUUAGUUGGCAGUUUCAAAGAUCACCCAUGUGAUAUAAGCUAAUGAUUCAAUUUGACAUCUGUGGGCCUAUCAUUCAUGCAUUCACAUAGAGGCUGCUGGUCAUCCAACAAAUGCUCACCGGGUGGAUGCUAGGUUUCGCCUUACGAUUUUCGCCAGAAGAGAAGUUCUCCCAUUUUUACACCCAGCAUUGCUGUGAAUCAUGCUACAUUAAAAAUGAAAGUUUGUACUCAUGGCAACUGACAGUGCUGAGAAAUAGAAACACAAUCCUCUAUGAAAACCGCAUGAGACCAACAGCGCCCCUCCAGAAAGCUCUUUAAAGAAAACUGGUCCUGCCAUUUACUGGGGCCGAAACAUGCACCAAAGCUUCCCUUCUUGGAGUCACAGCCAACUGAAAGAAGUGGCUUCCGUGGGGAGGACACAGUGAGGGGGAAUCACCAAGCUCCCAGGAAGGAGGCCUAGGUGAAUCCUUCAGACCUUUGGAACUGCCAGUUCCACAUCUGUGGGGAGGGAGCACUAGACCAGGUCUCCGAAGAUCACGUCUACCUGCACCAUUUGGAAAUUCUAGAGUAACUUGGCCGUUGGAGAACACCUGCCUAACUUUCUCUCCUGACCCUCUUGGUCCAUUCCCCCUCCAGCAUCAGAACCGCCAGCGCUGCACCAGCCUCACCUCUUCGCUCUCCCACCAGGGAGGGGUUGACUCUGAAAAUGCUCAGUGACUCCUGCAGAUCCCAGCAGGACAGGGACAGAGACCUCAGCCUCACCCUCAGCCCCAAAUCCAUCCCUGAAAAGCUGAUGCCCUUUCCUCUCUCUGGACUCCUUUUCCAUCCUAAAGCUGAAAUGCUCAGCAAGGAAACAAUUCUUUUCGAGAAUUUAAUAGCAAAAUAAAGUCCAGUCCAGAGAUCAGUCAAUCUGUACCCAGUUUACAAGAGAGAAACCCGACACUCAGGUCCAUAAUGUGGUUACCCCAAGGUCACACAGCACAGGGACUAAGCCU